UACAGAGGUCUCAAGCGUUGUUCGGAUUCAUUGGGCGUAAAGGGCGCGUAGGCGGCGGGGUAAGUCGGGUGUGAAAUCUCAGAGCUCAACUCUGAAACUGCACUCGAUACUGCUCUGCUUGAGGACUGGAGAGGAGACUGGAAUUCACGGUGUAGCAGUGAAAUGCGUAGAUAUCGUGAGGAACACCAGCGGCGAAGGCGGCGCUCUGGGCCGGUACUGACACUGAGGAGCGAAAGCGUGGGGAGCAAACAGG
rnacentral:rRNA from 1 species